UAAAGUCUAGUUAAAGAAUAUAACAUAAGCUUGUCAAACUUAAAUUAUCUCUCGAUGACUUUAA
rnacentral:tRNA from 1 species